rnacentral:rRNA from 1 species
CCUACGGGAGGCAGCAGUGAGGAAUAUUGGUCAAUGGACGCAAGUCUGAACCAGCCAUGCCGCGUGCAGGAAGACGGCUCUAUGGGUUGUAAACUGCUUUUGUACGGGAGUAAACGCAGAUACGCGUGUCUGUCUGAAAGUAUCGUACGAAUAAAGAUCGGCUAACUCCGUGCCAGCAGCCGCGGUAAUACGGAGGAUUCAAGCGUUAUCCGGAUUUAUUGGGUUAAAAGGGUGCGUAGGGGGAAGAUCAAGUCAGCGGUAAAAUUGAGAGGCUAAACCUCUUCGAGCCGUUGAAACUGGUUUGCUUGAGUGAGUGAGAGGUAGGCGGAAUGCGUGGUGUAGCGGUGAAAUGCAUAGAUAUCACGAAGAACUCCGAUGGCGAAGGCAGCAUACCGGCGCGCAACUGACGCUCAUGCACGAAAGUGUGGGGAUCGAACAGGAUUAGAUACCCGUGUAGUC